UUUGAAAACCGGUCCAGAUGCGGCAUGACGUAAUAUCGAGAAACGACGUUUAAAGUUGCGCCAAGUUUACGCGCGCAGCUUUCUUACACAUGUUUUAAUUAGCAAAAGUUUGACUGUUAAAGUACGACUGCUUGUUACAUGAUUGAUGACAGCCUACUACAGAAAGAAUAUUUAGACAUCAGACCUGUAAAAAAAAUAGUGGUAUUACGCCUGAGACAAAAUACUUCGUUCAAAAUCAGUUGUUUCCCCUUCGCUACUGUAUGUUUCCGGUUUCGGAUUUUAUCAGGGAAGCAUGUGAAGUUUACUUUUGUUUAACUACCUUUUGUUCAACGAUGAAGGGAUCUGAGAUUUGUAAUACUGUUUACUGAUUUGAUAAUAUUCCUUGUUCCUUUGAUGGUUCAUUCCACUACAGCUGGUUCAUAUACCCUACAACAGCCAGGAAAUUGGUCUGUUUACUUUAAGAUCUGAAGAAAAUGUAACAUAUUUUGGAUGUGCUUUGAGGAAUCAGGAAGGCAAGUGUUUCCUCUUGUUUAUGAAAGAAACUCAGUUGGUUAAGGGGCAGACAACUUGUGAGCAUGGUACAUCACUACCUGUAUUGGUAUUCCAUUUUGACAAUGCUGCUAGCUAGAAUAGAAAUAACAUCUUGCUGUGGUAUGGUCUGUGGAGAGUUUUACUAGGAUAUCACAGAUCGAUUGAAUAUUCAACAAUGAUCACAGACCAUGCAAAGUUUGAAUCUGACUUGCACUUUUGAAUUUAGAAGAAUCUGUGGAGGAGGGUGAAUGCUGAGACCUUUAAUAAUACAUGAUAUUGCUGACACAGUGUGUCAGUCAUCAAAGAAAGGUCAUAACAUUGCACAGUUGGUCAACAAUGAUUUAAAACCUGUCACAUUCUACCCGUGGAGAAAUAUCUUAUCACAAUAUUUUAAACUUUUUGAAGAAGAUAACUAAGUAUUACCACUUUACCAUGUCUGCAGAAACACCUGGAUUGUUAGUGUUAGAAGUGACAGUCCAGUUGAGACAGUAACUUACUAAAAUAUACUCCCCCUUGCCAAACGAAUAUUACUGACAUGGAAUGACCCAAGCCUGACAAUGGUACCUGUAUGAACUCGUAAGAGAAUAGUAUUUGUCUGAAAAGUCAAAGGAUUCUGUUUGUCCCAGACCCCUUGAACUGAAAACUGAAAUUGUGAUUGACGAGGAUUUUUCUGAGAACUGAAAAAAGGAAGUGAAUAUAAAAGAUAGAAAUUGUUGUUGAAUUCAAACGUUUUAAUACACAACACUUUAGCCUGUUUUGCUGUUCAUAUAGAUGUGUUUAGCUGUUAAGGUUAAACAUCGAGUAAAGGUUGUAGUUUCAGUUACCUACAUUAAAGUAUUGGCUGGAAAAAAAUAUUUACUUUUCACCAGAGCUUGUAGCAGUGUAACCUUCAUCAAAAGUUAAGCUAUUGUGUUAAUUAUUAAAGUAUUUUUAGAAAAAAGGAAUUUAGUAUGUAUGUUGCCAUGGUAACAUAAUGCAAAUUAUAUUUCAUUGAAAUUAUGGAUUUGUAUUUCAAUAAGGGAUCUACAGUAUAUAAUGUAAUGGUAAAAGAAUGUUCACUUUCUUCAGUAUUGUCAGUUAUAACUAGCCAGUGAAAAAAACAGAUUAUGAGGAAAGGGAUGACUGAAAUGUUUAUUCUUACGAUAACUACUUUUGUUACUUUUUUUGUUUUGUUAUUUUAAAGUUUUAUGUGAAAUUUUCAGAUUUCUUUCCUGAAUACUUAUACUUUAAAAUAUUUAACUUAUUAGAAAUACUUUUUUAAAAUAAGCUCUUGUUUUUAGGUAUUAUAGUAGGAAAAGGGAAUUUAAAACAUAUGUCGCCAUGGUAACACAAUUUUCUUAGAAAAUAUGGAAAAAUUUUAAUUAGCUGUACUUUCUAGUAUUCUACUUUAAAAUAAGCAUAAACAAUAAAAAAAAUCAAUAGUAAUAUAUGUUUCAUUUAUUUCAAAAUAGUCAUUUAUUACCAGCAGGUAAAAGGCAAGUUAUGAAGAAACAAUGACAGAAAUGUCUUAUUCUUAUAGUUAUUACUCAUGUUACAAACGCUGUCAUAAAACAAAACAUUUUAAUUUUUUUAACAUGGAAUUUUGAGACAAUAUUUUUGAAUACACACCACUUGAUAAUAUUCAAGUUAUCUGAAACACUUUUCCAAAUUUAGCUCUUUUUUAAAGUAUUAUUAUAGAAAAUAGAAUCGAAUGCAUAUGUUGCCAUGGUAACAUAAUUUAAUAAUGUUUUUAUAGAAAAUGUGAAGGACUUUAGCCAGCUAGAUGUUUGCACUUUAAGUGAAUAUCUAAAUAUUCUUUGUAAAAGAAUAUUCAUUUAUUUAAAAAUAGCCAGUGAUUACCAAUAAGUGAAAACACAAACUGAAGAAACAACGACUGAAAUAGUUUAUUCUUGUGGUUUUUACCCGUGUUACGAAAUCUGUCAUAAAACCAAACAUUUUAUCUUUUCCCAUAAAAUUUUCAAAUUUUACUUUCGAAUACAUAUACUUCGGAAUAUUCAACUUAUAAGAAACAUUAUUUCAAAUUAAGCUUCUAUUUUUAAGUUCUAUUGUAGAAAAAGGAAUUUAAUGCAUAUGUUGCCAUGGUAACACAAUUUGAAUAAUGUUUUCAUAGAAAAUAUGAAAGAUUUUAAUUAGCUGUAUUUUUGUGUUUUAAGUAAGCAUCACAAGAAUAAAAUUUCAUAGUAAAAGAAGGUUCAUUUUCCCCAAAAUAGUCAUUUAUUACCAGUAUCUAAAAGACAAGUUAUGAAGAAACAAUGACAAAUCUAACUUAUUCUUAUGGUUAUUACCCAUGUUACAAAAACUUGUCAUAAAACCAAACAUUCUUAAUAUUCUCAUGUGAAAUUUUCAGAAUAUUUUUAUAAAUACAUAGGCCUUCUAAUAUUUUACUUUUUGAAGUCCUUACUUUAAGUGAACAAGUUUUUUUUAAGUUUUAUCACAGAAAAGGGAAUUUAAUAUAUUUGUUGCCAUGGUAACACAAUUUGAGAAAUAUUUUUAUAGAAAUUGUUGUAGAUUUUAGUUGAUUAUCAUUUUGUGUAAUAAGAAGGGAUCUAAUAUAUAUCAUGCAAUUGUAACAGAAGAUAAAUUUAUUUCAGAAUUGUUAGCCAUUACCUGUAAGUGAGAAAUAAACUAGAAAGAAAGAAUAA